GUUCCCAGAAUGCAUUGCUUUUAACUUUAAAUUCGCGUGCCCAGCGUUUCAAAAAGGAAGUGGUCGCUUGUAUGUGUGAGAGUAUGGGAGUGUGUUUGUGAGCGUGUGUGGAAGAGAGCGUGUGUUUUUUUUCUUUUAUAUAAAAAUCUACACCGUGAUCUUAUUUGAUUGGAGCCAGAAAGCCUCACCAUGGCUCUAAGAUGAUAAGAGGCUGCCAAGCAAGCUGUUUUAGCAGCGUUGAGCGAACGGCGGCUGCUGUAAAAGAGGCACAUCCACUUGUGGACCGGGCAUGAUGAAUUGAUCAGAUAUACUAGGCCGGUGAUGAACCCAGGGUGAUAUACUCCGGGGGAAUGGGCCGACCUGUGAGUAUAGAGGCGAUUCUGACCUGG